rnacentral:rRNA from 1 species
AUACGUAGGGGGCGAGCGUUGUCCGGAAUUACUGGGCGUAAAGGGUGCGUAGGCGGAUGUUUAAGUGAGAUGUGAAAUCCCCGGGCUUAACCUGGAGGCUGCAUUUCAAACUGGAUAUCUAGAGUGCAGGAGAGGAGAAUGGAAUUCCUAGUGUAGCGGUGAAAUGCGUAGAGAUUAGGAAGAACACCAGUGGCGAAGGCGAUUCUCUGGACUGUAACUGACGCUGAGGCACGAAAGCGUGGGUAGCAAACAGGAUUAGAUACCCUGGUAGUCCACGCCGUAAACGAUGAGUACUAGGUGUAGGAGGUAUCGACCCCUUCUGUGCCGCAGUUAAUACAAUAAGUACUCCGCCUGGGAAGUACGAUCGCAAGAUUAAA